CAACCCUCGUCCCUCGCGGGGGUUACUAUAGCUACGCUGCACACAGUAUUUCGGUCUCCGUAGUCGGUCCUGGCUGGCCACAGGGAAGAGCCGGCACCAUGAGUCACGUAGUGACCAUCGAAGAGCCCCAGGCCAAGCCGCAGGUGUCUCAAACCCGGUGCGGAGGGAGGUCGGGGCCCUGGGGCAAAGUCUCUGCCAAUCGAACAUAUGAUUUCCUAUACGAUCCAUUGUUUAUCAUGUCAAGUGAGAAAGACCACAACCAGGCAAAUAUUCAGGCCACCCUGAUUCGAAGCAAACUGAGAAGGGUUCCCAGGUAUAGAACCAUGUUCAGUAGCCUGAUUCAUUAUCCAAGAUAUUCUGUGUAUUGGAGCAAGGAAGGUCCUGUUCCAUCAUUCAUCAGUCAGGACUGGAAGGGACAUGAGGAGAGACACAAAGAAGCCCUCCGGAAACUUGCUGUAACUGACACUUCUUUUCAGAUGCCUAAAGAAGUUUAUGAAGAUCCUGAUGUUACUGGAAAGAAUCGCUAUAAAUAUUUUGAAAGGCCUUUCCUUCCAUUUUAUCAACAGAUGCCAUUCAAUGUUGUUUUUGCAUCAACCAGGGCAGAGCCAUAUACUUUUCCUCCUCCUUCUACUAAGUACCUCCCCAUUCCUUCAAAGUAUACUGUGGGCACUCAGACUGAUUAUCGCGAUGCCGAAGUUCAAACAGACCCGUAUUCUCCAGAAUACAUAGUAUGUCAGGAUUCCAUCCCUGAACUGCUGACCCUGGCAACUCUCACUUGGGGUCGAGGUCUCCCGGCAGGACAAGCUGAGGUAGAGAUGAUAGAACGUGCCCGGGAGAAGCGUGCUUGGGAAGCCACUCUCCCCCCUCUGAGUGACACCUCCCAGUUUGAGAAGAGGAGGAGGAUGAUGAAUGCCAUGGAGAGGAAGGAGUGGGCCUUCAGAGAGCAGGAGAUCGAAAAACUGCAGGAGAUUCGCCUGGAAGUUCUAAAAGAGCUGCUGAAGAAACGUGAUGAGAAUCAAAAUGAAGUAAACAUGGCGUGCUUGAAUGCCCAGUGGUCUAAACUUCAGGAGGUGAAGGAGGCAAAGUUGGCACAGAUUCACCGCACACAUGUAUCAGCAAUCAGAAAACUUUUGGGAAAGGGAAAGAAUAUAGAAGGGAAGCUGGAGAGAAGAAAUAUCAUCAAGGAUUAUUCUGAUUAUGCAUCACAGGUCUAUGGACCUCUAUCUCGCCUUGGUCGUUUCACAGACAACAACUCAGAGGACUUUGUAGUAAAAAACCACUAUCUCAACACCUAUGAAGGAUUAGUCGAACUUGAGUCAUGUCUCCCAGAAUUUGUGACACAACCCCGAAUCAGACCUCCAAAACCAAAAGUCACUACCACCAAAGAUGGUUUUCUAAAGAGGGCUGCAAGGAUGGACCAUGAGUUGGCAGAGGUUCAUAAGGCACUGUUGGAAAAGAAGAAUAAGGGCCUCGAAGCAAAGAAACCAAUGCGUUUUCUUCAAAGAAAGCCAAUACCUCAACCUCGACUUCCAACUCCAACUUUGGAGUUGAGUUCCAAUGAAGAAGAAGAUAUAGAAAUGGCUGUGAUCUACCUUCAAAAGUUACUCCGGGGCAGAGUCGUUCAGAACAUGAUGUUUGAAGGGAAAGAGAAGCGGCUGGAGUUGAUCCAGGAGCUGCGCACCAGCCACGCACUGCAGGAAGAGGACAGGCUGGUGAAGAAAGCCGAGAAGCAGGUGACCCUGGCCUUGCAGCGACAGAGGAACUUGCACGAGCACAAGGUGUCACUGGUUGAAAACCAUUUGGCCGGACUGGAAGGAUGGGUGCUGGCAGACAUGUUUGACUUCCUGUCCAAAGAGCUGGUGAGACUGCAGGAGGAGAGGAGGGUCCACGCCCUGGCCAUGCUGGCCGAGCGGCAGCGCAGGAUGCGUGAAGCCGAAGAGAGUGGCCGGCGCCAGGUGGAAGAGAGGCGCCUGCAGGAGGAGGACCAGAUAUUUAAGGAGGUAAUUAAAGUUCACCAAAGUACUGUAACUUCCUAUCUGGAGGAUAUAAUACUGAACACUGAAGAGAAUACUGCAGAAGAACAAGCCAGGGCAGAAAUAGAGAAGAUGGCUGAGGAAAUCAAUGACAUUGCUUAUGAAAUGGAAAGCCGUCGAACUCAGCUUCAGUCAGAGGAGAUUGUUGCCGAGUUGGUUUAUAGUUUCCUGAUCCCAGAGUUGCAAAAGGACUUUGUCAAAGAAAAGGUGAGGAAUGCACAGCAGAAGCACAUCCUCGCAGCCCAUCAGGUCAUCCACAGGCACACAGAAGACAUGCUCAAGAAGCAUUCUGUUGAGCAACAGCAAGCAUCAGACACUGAGCUACUUGAGGGAGAAACUGAAAAUGAGCAAAACAGCUAAGGUCAGAUGGCCUCUGCCCACAACCUUAAGGAUGGGACCACCUAUGGCACCCUACCCUGGCAGAGGUGCAGCGAUGGGAUCCCCACCGAGGCUGUGGGGAUGGGGGACAACUGAGCUGGAGGGGUGGGGCCAUCCCCAGAGCCAUUGGAGUAAUGCUGCCAUCCCAGUGGACCUGGAAGACUAUGAUCUUUUUAAAAAGAAGCUGUACAAAUCAUCAUAGAGCAUUCCAGUCAUCUGUGCUUCUCCUCAGAUGUGCAGCUCUUAUGGGCUUGUCAAUAUGUGAUGCAUGAGGAAAACAGAUUUAUUUUCUUUAAACUCCCAAUAAUUUAAAAUGAUUUUCCGUAAUAAUAAUCAAAUGAAGGAGCUUUAUUCUCUUCGGUGUUUCCUAGAGGCUCUACUUCAAGAGAAAAUUUUCUCAUGUCUCAUUCCAACAGUUCGUUAACUAUGAAGAUACGCCAGCUUGUUGAAUCAAAUAAAAAAUGUUACUGGAUGUUUAAGUGGUUUUGGUUUGCUAUUCAUAGUGCAUUGGCGUUAUCUGUUAAGACUGAAAAUAUGCAAUCCCCAUGACCCAGCAUUUCAUUCUCCAGAAGAAAUGCAUGAGUAUGUACACCAACAGGCAGGACAAGAAUGCUGUAGCAGCACUAUUCAUGCUGAGCCAAAUGUCUGUCUACACAGGAACAGAAAAGUAAACCUUGGUAUAUCCGGACAGUGGUACAUCAAGUCACCACUGAGCUUUAGCUCUGAGAAGUCUAUUCUUGCAACACCCAUGGAGACGGUGCUGCUGGAGAGCAAUCUGCCCAUCCUACGUUUUGACAAGUGUCAGGGUUGAAUAGAUCUCUCCUCAUUUAAAGAUCAAUAAGUAGGAAAAACAAUAAAUAAACAAAAGCAUCCACAACAAAUCAACAUGGGACCCAUGUAAAGAACUUACGAAAGAAAAUGUAUGUUAUCUGAAAACAAUGAAAGCCUAUCUUAGAAACUAUCUUACUGUAAUAGGGAAGAGCUAGUUCUGACUCCAUGUUGGAUCUGUUUCUUUUACUUGAGCCUUUGCUUUUCAUUGCUUUUGUUAUUAGAGUCACUGUCUAUAACUAUAAGCUUAAUGGCCUGCCACAGGGAACCCUGCUCCUAUGCCUGACUGUUAAAACUACAGUGCCUUUGUUCAGCUCACAGAGAGACAUUCUGACCCUGCCCACCUGUGAAUGGCUGCAGAAAAGAAGAAAUUAACACAUCCCCUCCUCAAUGCGGCCAAGCAAGGAGAUAUUUUGCAAGAUAAACGGCCUUUUUACUUUACUUCCUCACCUCCUCCCCCUCUCUGUUCUAUAAAAGAAACUGGCAUCCAGACCCCGAUAAGAUGGUUAUGUUGAGUCUUUAGUCUGCUAUCUUCUUGGCCUGCUGGCUUUCCGAAUAAAGUCACUAU